GCCCCGAGGCAGGGGAUUGGCUGGGGCGGGGCGAGGCGGAAGUGGCGCUGAUGGCGACAUGGAGGCCCCUCCCCAGGACUACCGGAACGUGCCCAUCGACAUCCAGACCAGCAAACUCCUGGACUGGCUCGUGGACAGGCGCCACUGCAGCCUGAGGUGGCAGAGCCAGGUGCAGCUCAUCCGGCAGAAGAUCGAUGUGGCCAUCCAGGACAUGCCCGAGAACCAGGAGAUCAAACAGCUCCUGGAGG